rnacentral:lncRNA from 1 species
CGAGACGUCCUGGUCCAACAUCCGUCUCCUGUAAAGAUCCUGCUUUUUUAUUAAAACUUAUUUUUUCUGUCAUCGGAUCAUCAAACACAAUAAGGUACGCAGGAUGGGCGCUAUCUGAGGUAUGCCACGUCGGAUCGCUAGAAAAGAGAUCGCCGGGAGGAAAAAAAAGAUGGCCUCCAUUGGGUAGCCGCUAGCGCAAGUCAUACAAAACGCUGGCCGCUUUCGUCAUGUGUUU